GAUACAGCACCUGGCCCAGGAAAGAUACAGCAGGGCCACAUGGGGCUUGGAUAGAAGCUUUUCUGAGGCCAGGAGGUAGAGCUAGAGCUGGAUUCCGAAUCACAGGACUGUGAUGCAAGGAACCACAGGGAGAGCAAAAGAAGACAGGGCAGUAUCCUGUGUUUGUGGCCACAAGCAGAAGCCAGGUGAAGAUGUGGGGAAGACCCAAGAGGAGAACCCAGGGCUACCUAGUUACCAGGGACAAGGGACAAAUGGGCCACUCCAGCACUUUGUGGAGAGGGGAAGCUGCCCACUGCCGACCACAUACUGCAGGCAGCUUUUCUCUUAUAGCUCUCGUGUUGCGUUUCUUAAUUUAAAAUGGGAAAUUCCG
rnacentral:lncRNA from 1 species